rnacentral:sRNA from 1 species
UGUUGAUGCACGAAUCACACAAGUACGAAAAUGGGAUCUCUAGGGAAGGAAGAAGAAUCUUUCUAUUAAUGACGAGCCCGCGACUUAGGCGAAUUGGACGGAUUACAAAGGAUGAUUUCUUCAACGAGCAUAAAUGGAGUUAGAACGAGCCGAUUGUAGAUGAAAGACGAGCUUGAGGCCGGAAGACGAUCUUGAUGUCCGAGGAAGAAUAGAGUUUA